AUGAAGUACUAAUAUUAAAGUAUUAACUGAAUUAAAAAAAAAAAAUUCAAAACUAACAGAUGCUGGUUUUCCAUUAUUAUAAAUAUUAUGAAAUGUACAAAGCAAAUAAAAAAUAACCUCUGUGGUGUAUAAGACAAAUUUCCUCCUAGAAACCAUACAAGUUGAUGACUGCUUAGGUAAGGUCAACAGCAAAAUGUCUAGUAUAAAAGUUCUUUACAAUCACAAUAUAGUCAAACUUAUAUUCAUUACUUUGUUCAG